GAAUGUUAGGAUGAAAAUUUUAAUGGAAUUCUGAUGCUUCCUUUAAUCAUUUUUAAUUAAAGUACAAAAGUAUGAAGAAUUGAUCUUAUAGAAGAUUAUGAGCAAUGCCCAAAGCUGAUAUUUUAGCAAUUCUAGCAAUCCAUUCUAAACUACUUAACUAAUAAAAUUUCCACAUCUAAGACCAUGUGAUCCGAUUCUAGUUAAAAUAAUGGAUUCAACUUCUGCCUCAUAUGGGAGGUUGGAAAUGUAGCUGAUUUUCUUUCGAAAAUGUAGCUGGCGCCAUUUGGUACUGCCUAAAGAAGAGAGAUGCUGUCAGCACUUGAUGAGAGAGUAUUACCCACGGUGCUUGUUACUGUUUAUGAGCUUCCACUGAAGUGAUUCCUUUUCAUUCAUAGCAGCAGAAUCAUUUCCAAAGACCCCCAGUAUUUGCUGCUAUGAUUUUGUAUCUCCCCUGAUGAACCUGAACAAGAGGAUUUCCUUACACCAUUCCCUAGUGUCUGGAUGUCACAGGGUUAACAAAUGUGCUUUUUUACAGGAAGUAAUUUUAAAAUUUGAACUGAAAUCUACCUGGGAUCAUAGUGUUUAUGUGAUUUUAUUUAUGAAUACUGGUUGUCCAGUGCCAGAAAAACCAUGACGUGCAAAAUGCUUUGCACUCAGUGUUUUUACUAUGUUUCUAAUUGUUAAUAGUUUCUGCUUUCUUCUUUUGACUACUUGACUUACAAAAUGAUCUGAUUGACUACUUCAUUGAAAAGCAAAGGUAACUCAUGUUUAAUAGCUUGUUUAUGUGGUUAUGAUAUUUUUCCACUAUUUUUGAAAAAUAAUCAUGGAUAGCAUUCUUUGAAAGACAGUGAAAAAUGUAAUUUACUACAUAUAUUGCUUUUUAAAUGUUGCCUUAAACAGGUAUAGAUGAGCAGUAGUAAUUGCUAUGUACUGAUUUACCUCAAGGUGAAAAAGAAUUAAACCUGUGCAUAUUCCAUUUAUAAAAUAAAUUCAUAUAAACAGCCCUGCACUUUUUCAGAUGCCUUGGUUUCCAGGAUGGAGCUCAGUGCUACUGAGUACCCUGGCCGCAGGGCCACCUCAGGAUAUUCUUUCCUCCACCUAUUUUAUUUAUUUAUAGACAUCUGUUUACAAGGACUGUAAUACAUCCUCAUGUUGACCAUCUGAAAUUCACUUUCACUUGAAUGCUAUUUCACUCUAAAAUUGCCGCUUUUGAGAAGACAAUGAACUAAAAACUUCCUUAUGAUAAAAGGAUGAUGCUAUAUAUUCUCUAAUGAUAUUAGAUAUAUGAAGUGAGGCACACGAUCAUUCUAAUGGGUGUUGUAUAUGUGAGUAUGCUUGUGUGAAUGAUGUUGUCAAUCAUAAAUCUCUCAAGUUGUUUAAAAAAGCUGUGGCAUAUCAUUGUUCAUAUUUGCCAAGCAUAUAAAAUGUGUAGGACAGAAUUUUUUAUGUGCUAACGCAUGUAUUUAUAAAGCAGAUUUCUUUACCACUCAAAAUUACUUUCGUUUUCUCCAUCUAAAAAAAAAAUUUCUUCCAUAUACCUAAAGUUUAUGUAUAUAUAUAAUAGCUUUAUAACUUUUACCUUUUGCAAAAGCAGGUUCAAAAUUCUGUAAAAAGGAAAAUGGUUUCCUAAACAGAGGUAUGACACCAGAGCUUGCUGUUUUUAAAGGAUUGUAUCAUGUAUAUAAGUUCUGUAAAUGUGCUCAACAGUGUAACAUGUGAAUCCUGUUUUAAAGUGCUCAGAUUUUGGAUGUGUAAGCCAUUAAUAUAACAUUGUAAUUCAAAAAUGUUUAAAUUAAAUAAUUUAAUGUUUUAAAUUUAUUUAUGUAGAUCACAUCAUUGUUAUCAUAUGCAGUAGAACUAUGUGAACUGUCUUUUGGUUUAGUCCAACAGUUAUUUUUUUAGAAAGUAAACUUAAAGAGUUUAAGGACAUCCAAAAUUUAAAAUAGUGUUCAUACUUCAAAAUUUGGCAAUUUUAAUGUAAAGUUGGUUCUUUUCUAACUUUUCAAAAAGUAAUUUGAGUUUCGAUAAUAGGAAAACAUAGUUGGAAAUGGAAUUGUCUAAAGAACAUUUUUAAAAAUUUAAUUAGCAUAUAUUGACGUCUACAUUUGUCUUAGAGUACUUGUUAACAGUUGUUUUUUUAAUCAGAAUUUUGUGCGUUGAUGAUUCUUGUGUUGUGGCUUUUCUUUUGUUACUUUCAUAUUAAGAGCUUUUUUUUUUUUGUAGGGAGGUUCUCUUCCAAUGUUUACUACAUUUAAAUAAAUAGAAAUUGAAUUUUAUUGUUCAUUUAUACAGUAUUUGAUAGCUUGGUAUAAUAACAGUACAGUUCUAAUUUUUAUGACUUUUAUAAUUAUACAAUGAUAAUAUUUUCUUUUAUAAUAAAAUCCAAAGUAAACAUUUAAAAUGUAGAAGUGAUAUUUUUCAUCUAUAUGAAGUACAAGUAUCUACCAAGUCUAUAAUGUGAAUAAUCCUGCCUUUCAAAUCUGUUUCAUAAUAUUAGAAGAAAACUAUUUUUGGAGAUGUUAUUGAAGUUGAAAGAUCAAUAAAAGUCUACUGAAUCAGUUGU
ensembl:lncRNA